UUUAAGUGCAACUAUAAAUUUCCACGCCUAAUUUUGAUCAUCCGUCUUAUUUAAAAUUUUUUUAUAAAAUUAGUAUUUUUGUUGUUAUGAGAUGAUAAAAUAUGAAUAGUACUUUACCCGUGACUUAUGUUUUUAAAUUUUUUCUAAAAUAUUUUAAAUAAGACAGACGGUUAAAGUUGGACGCAGAAAAAUAUGACUGCAUUUACA
rfam:Oryza glaberrima chromosome 8 Oglab08_unplaced138_18, whole genome shotgun sequence.